AUUGAACGCUGGCGGCGCGCCUAACACAUGCAAGUCGCACGAGAAAGGGGGCAACCCCCGGUAAAGUGGCGCACGGGUGAGUAACACGUAGGUAAUCUGCCCUCGAGUGGGGGAUAACCUUCCGAAAGGAGGGCUAAUACCGCAUGAGACCACGAGGUCGAGAGGCCAUGAGGUCAAAGCCGGCCACUUCACGAAAGCUGGCGCUUGAGGAUGAACCUGCGGCCCAUCAGCUAGUUGGUAGGGUAACGGCCUACCAAGGCAAAGACGGGUAGCUGGUCUGAGAGGAUGAUCAGCCACACUGGAACUGAGACACGGUCCAGACUCCUACGGGAGGCAGCAGUGGGGAAUCUUGCGCAAUGGGCGAAAGCCUGACGCAGCGACGCCGCGUGGGUGAUGAAGGCCUCGGUGUAAG
rnacentral:rRNA from 1 species